CUUCGGGGUCAGCGGCGGACGGGUGAGUAACGCGUGGGAACGUGCCCUUUCCUCCGGAAUAGCCCUGGGAAACCGGGAGUAAUGCCGGAUACGCCCUUUGGCAGCGAUGCCAUUGGGGAAAGAUUUAUCGGGGAAGGAUCGGCCCGCGUUGGAUUAGGUAGUUGGUGGGGUAACGGCCUACCAAGCCGACGAUCCAUAGCUGGUUUGAGAGGAUGAUCAGCCACACUGGGACUGAGACACGGCCCAGACUCCUACGGGAGGCAGCAGUGGGGAAUCUUGGACAAUGGGGGCAACCCUGAUCCAGCCAUGCCGCGUGAGUGAUGAAGGCCUUCGGG
rnacentral:rRNA from 1 species